GAUGAACGCUAGCGGCAGGCCUAAUACAUGCAAGUCGAACGGGAUCUGAGGGUAGCUUGCUACCCGAUUUGAGAGUGGCGCACGGGUGCGUAACGCGUGAGCAACCUACCCAUAUCAGGGGGAUAGCCCGAAGAAAUUCGGAUUAACACCGCAUAAUAAUACGCUAACACAUGUUGAUGUAUUUAAAUAUUUAUAGGAUAUGGAUGGGCUCGCGUAACAUUAGCUAGUUGGUAAGGUAACGGCUUACCAAGGCGACGAUGUCUAGGGGCUCUGAGAGGAGAAUCCCCCACACUGGUACUGAGACACGGACCAGACUCCUACGGGGGGCAGCAGUAAGGAAUACUGGUCAAUGGGCGCAAGCCUGAACCAGCCAUGCCGCGUGCAGGAUGACUGCCCUAUGGGUUGUAAACUGCUUUUGUUAGGGAAUAAACCUUCUUACGUGUAAGGAGCUGAAUGUACCUAAAGAAUAAGGAUCGGCUAACUCCGUGCCAGCCGCCGCAGUAA
rnacentral:rRNA from 1 species